ensembl:lncRNA
GAAUGAAGAACAAUAAAAUGAGGUCUGCCUGUACGGAUUUCCAUAGAAGCUGCUUUAUUCCCACCAACAGUGCAUACAGGUUCUCCACAGGUUCACCAGUACUGGAGGGGUGACGUUCACACCCAAACAUCUAACUGCAAGAACUUGCUUUUAACCAUUGAAAUAACACGUGUGGAGCUCUUGAAACAGUGGCUUGGGCGGAUUAAGUACUCUGUCAAUGUUAGCUAUUACUGCCAUUAACAGUACAUUAACAGUAGGGCCACUCGACGGUGCCAGCACCGGCACUACCGUUAACAUUACCACUACUAUUACUACCCGUGGUUGUUACUACUACCAUUGCUACUAUUAACUGUGCUGCCACUCCUGUGCGUGUGUGUGUGUGUUAGUCACUCAGUUGUGUCCAGUUCUUUGCGACCCCAUGGACUGUAGCCUGCCAGGCUCCUCUGUCCAUGGGAUUUCCCAGGCAAGAAUACUGGAGUUGGUGGCCACUGCCCUCUCUGCUGCUAGCCUUAUUAUGAUUAAUAUUACCAUGACUGCUUUGACACAGCCACCACGAUAACCACCACACCAGCAGCUGAGUUCUGUCGAGUACUUGCUGUGUACAAAACUCUUCUGCACACAGUAUCUCACUGACUCCUUGCAACAACCGCAUAGGAUGAGCCAUGAUUACUCUUCACAGAAGGCACAGAGGGACCCGUUUGCCCAGUCACCCAACGAAGGCGGGGCAGAACCAGCAUUCGUGGUCCUACCUGAGAGCUUCCCUCUGCUGGAAGCCCAGAACCAGCACGGAAAAAGUGCAGAACUCAUCUGCACACUUGAUGAUGGCGCUCUCAUGUGGGGCGUCAGCCUCCAGUCUGGGAACACCACCCCCAAGGCUUUUGGACAGACCCGCGUCCUAUGCUGCUGCAGAUCCGAGGCCAGACAGCCACAGCCUGCUGGACUCCCUCAUCACAGGAGCCGACCCGCAGGUCAGGGCCUUUAGCAAAAGUCAACCUCACUCAAAUGUGGUCCAUCUUUGACGCUGUGGGACAUGAAAGAAGAGGAGUGUCAUCCAGCAAGUUUGAGAGAAGACCCUUCUGUCAGUCAUUACUGGAAAGUAGGGGCCACCCAUCUUUCCCAAACGCCUGAGUCAAUUCUGCCUGGAUCCAUGUCCUCAGCUCUUUUUCAAAAUUAACCGCAGUAACUGGAACUGAAACUCCGUAUCCACUAAACACUAAGUCCCUAUUUCCCCUCCUUGCAGCCCCGGGCAAUCCCCUAUUUUACUUCUGUCUCUAUGAGUUUGGCCACUCUGGAUACCUCGUAUAAGUGAAAUCUACAGUAUUUGUCCAUCUGUGACCGGAUUCUUCAAUGACCAUAAUGUUCUCAAGAUUCCUCCAUGCUGUAGCCUGGAUCAGAAUUUCCUCCCUUUUUAAGGCUGGAUAGUAUUCCACUGUAUGGACGGACCGUAUUUGGUUUAUCUGUUAUCCAUUGAUGGACACUUGAGUUGUUUCCACUUUUUGGCUUCUGUGAAUAAUGCUAUUACGAACAGGGAUGUCAAAAUCUUGCUUUCAGUUCUUUUGGAUUUAUACUCCAAAGUGGAAUUGCUGGGUCAUCUGGCAAUUCUCUUUAAUUUUUUGAAGAACCACCAUUCUGUCACAGCAGCUGCCCCAUCUUAUAGUCUCACCGGCCAUACACAAGGGUUCCAAUUUCUCCACAUCUUCCCCACACUUGUUACUUUCUGUUUCCUCAGCUCUUUUUAAAAAGUAUUUAUUUAUUUAGCUGAGCUGGGUUUCAUUGCGGCAUGCAGGAUCUAGAUCCCUGGCCAGGGCUUGAACUGGGCCUUCUACAUUGGUAGCACAGAGUCUUAGCCCUCGGACCACCAGGGAAGUCCCCUGUUCAGCCCUGUCUUCCCCACUACAGGUCUCAACCUCUCUCGACUUACUACAAAAGUGAUCAGUGGAAAUAUUCACUCUCCCAAUGUAUUUUCCCUCCAGAACUCCCAAUUUCUAUAGGGUUCUGUGUGCUCAGUGUUUUACUUAGGUGGUGGUGGUCUAGUCACUAAGUCAUGUUUGACCCUUUGCAACCCCAUACAUUGUGGCUUGCCAGGCUCCUUUGUCCUCCACUAUUUCCCGGAGGGAACUAUAUUCAAUUUCCUAUGAUACCGAGAUAGUGGAAAACAAUAUUUUUAAAAUGCAUAUGUGUAUAGAACGGAGUCCCUUUGUUGUAUAACAGAAAUUGGCGCAACAGUGUAAAUCAAGUAUACUUCAAAAAGAAAAAGACACCUGACUCUGGAAAACAAAAAGUGUGGGUGGUGGGCGGCGAGGGAAAGGUAAUCAGCACCUGUUGAAUAGUUCCUCUGGGCAAACACUGUGCUCUAUGUUUAACAUACUCUACAUCAUAGAACUUUCACAUUCCUGAAGAAUAUGCAAUAUUAGCCCUUUUACAGAUCAGGAAGCCAAGGUUUACAAGGAGUUAGCAGCUUGCUCGUUAAUGUUGGGGAUGUAAGCUCAGAUGUACCCAUAACCCCAAAUCCUGCUUCUUCCAAAUGGCCAGCUGCUGCCUACUUCUGUUUCCCCACCUCUCUGCUGUGAUGGUGAAGAGCGCAGGGUCGGGAGGGUUGGGGCGGAGGGUUUGGGUGCUGAGACUUCAGACCAUGGACCAGUGCUGAGCAGGCCCAGGGCUGACAUUCACCUUCCCCUCCAAGUGAGCAGUCUCUGGAGGUCUGACCUCCACUCAGACGAGACUCACUUGAAAGCAGGGUGGUGUUUAUACAUUUAUUAUGACCAGAUGGUGACAGGAUGCCUGGCUUCCAAUCAGUCACCAUCUCCUGGCUCAGGAAGUGAAAUCAAGGUCAGAGUCAGACUGAUAUGCAGAGAGUCCAUGCAAAGUGAAAUCAGCACUUUAAAAAUUCGUAUUUAUUUAUUUGUGACCGUGCUGGGUCUUCACUGCUGCGUGGGCUGCUCUCUAGUUGCAAGAGCAGGGGCUGCUCUCUAGCUCCAAGGCACAGGUUUCUCAUUGUGGCAACUUCUCUUGCUGUGCAGCACAUUUCUAGGGUGAGUGGGCAUCAGUAGUUGGGGCUCCGGGCUCUAGUGCACAGGCUCUCAGUAGCGGUGGUGCUUGGGCUUAGCUGCCGCCACGGCAUGUGGGAUUUUCCCGGAUCAGAGAUCGAAUCCGUGUCUCCUAUGUUGGCAGGCAGAUUCUUUACCACUGAGCCACCAGGAAAGCCCCAAAUCAGGACUUUUUGUUGUGAUAAAAUGCACCUGGGAUGGACCAUCUUAACUGUUUUCAAGGGCACAGCUCAGUGGUGUGAAGGACACACACUGCCGUGCCGCCACCGCCACCGUCCAUCUCCAGGAGGUUUUCAUUCUCCCAAACUGAAACUCCAUCCCCAUUAAACCCUAACUGCCCCCCUUCUCCUCAGCCCCCUGGCACCCACCCUUCUACUUUCUGUCACUGUGAAUCCGACUACUCUAGGGACCUCGUGUAUGCAGAAUCAUCCAGCGUUCAUCCCUUUGUGGCUGGCUUAUUUCACUUAACAAAGCAUGUUCAAGGUCGAACCUAGGAAUUUUAAGAAUCCUUUGCAUCAAGUGCUUCAGCCUGGUGAGUCACCCGCUCUGUGGAGGGAUCCCACACCAAUUGGCCUGCACUAGAUAACCACCCAGGAGCCCACCCCGGCCUUGCCCUGUGGACCACACCUCCAAUACAGCCGUGCUGUGACAGCAGCUCUCCUUUUUGUGUCUGCACCCUUCCAGACCUUGCUAAAGCCCCCAGGUGUCCAGAUUACUUUUCUAUUUUUUAAGCACUUCUAAAAAUUAUUAUUAUUAAUUUUUGCCCACACCUUGCAGCAUGCAGGAUCUUAUUUCCCUGACCAGGGCUUGAACCCAUGCCCCCUGCAAUGGAAGCACAGUCUUAAUCACUGGACCACAAGGGAAGUCCCCCGGAUUACUCUUCACUAACUUGCUUUGGAGGAUGCUUCCCAUGAAAGUUUCGUGGGUCCCUUAAUCUCAUCAGGACUAAAUAUAUCCCCAACCACAGAGGGGCUUCCCAGGUGACUCAGUGGUAAAAGAGCUGCCUGCCAAGCAGGAGACUGAGGUUCCAUCCCUGGGUGGGGAAGAUCCCCUGGAGAAGGAAAAGGCAACUCACUCCCGUACGCUUACCUGGGAAAUCCCAUGGAGAGAGGAGCCUGUUGGGCUACUGUCCAUGGGGUCACUAAAGAGUCAGAAGCAACUUAGCAAAUAAACCACCACCACCACCACA